rnacentral:lncRNA from 1 species
CUCUUGUGUAGCCUGAGGCGGCGGUAGCAUGGAGGGGGAGAGUACGUCGGCGGUGCUCUCGGGCUUUGUGCUCGGCGCACUCGCUUUCCAGCACCUCAACACGGACUCGGACACGGUGAGCCGAGGGACGGGGCGGGGUCCGGCGUCGCCUGGGAAGAGCCCUGCGCGCGGCCUGCCUCCCCGCUGUUGCUCCGGUCCCCGCCCGCUCCCCCGACGCCGCCGCGCCUCCUCCCUGCGGUCGCGGCUCUGCCUUCUCUCCCCCUCAGCGGUCCCUGAGGAAGGUUUUCUUCUUGGGGAAGUAAAAGGUGAAGCCAAGAACAGCAUUACUGAUUCCCAAAUGGAUGAUGUUGAAGUUGUUUAUACAAUUGACAUUCAGAAAUAUAUUCCAUGCUAUCAGCUUUUUAGCUUUUAUAAUUCUUCAGGCGAAGUAAAUGAGCAAGCACUGAAGAAAAUAUUAUCAAAUGUCAAAAAGAAUGUGGUAGGUUGGUACAAAUUCCGUCGUCAUUCAGAUCAGAUCAUGACGUUUAGAGAGAGGCUGCUUCACAAAAACUUGCAGGAGCAUUUUUCAAACCAAGACCUUGUUUUUCUGCUAUUA